rnacentral:lncRNA from 1 species
GCCAUGGAAGUCACCAAAAACCGGGGCAGAAAAUUUUCUGCCGAUUGUCGAAAAUUUUCUCGGAAGAACAGGGAAACAAUUUCAAUACAUUUAAGUUCUAGGUCGCCCACCAGUAUAAUGCGGGAAUACUUUUAAGUUCUAGGUCGCCCACCAGUAUAAUGCGGGAAUACUUUUAAGUUCUAGGUCACCCACCAGUAUAAUGCGGGAAUACUUUUAAUUUCUAGGUCGCCCACCAGUAUAAUGCGGGAAUACUUUUAAGUUCUAGGUCGCCCACCAGUAUAAUGCGGGAAUACUUUUAAGUUCUAGGUUGCCCACCAGUAUAAUGCGGGAAUACAUUUCAGUUCUAGGUCGCCCACCAGUAUAAUGCGGGAAUACCUUUUAAGUUCUAGGUCGCCCACCAGUAUAAUGCGGGAAUACUUUUAAGUUCUAGGUCGCCCACCAGUAUAAUGCGGGAAUACUUUUAAUUUCUAGGUCGCCCACCAGUAUAAUGCGGGAAUACU